rnacentral:lncRNA from 1 species
UCCAUAUUGUUCUGCCGAUUUUUGCUCUCCUCCAUAGCUGGGGUUUCUUCAACUUUCAAACUUCAUAGUAAGUGAUUUCAAGCCCCGUUUUUAAUGAUUUUUAUGUUUUUGAAAUCCCGGUAGCUCGAUUUAGCUUAUGUUAACAAUAAUUCAACCUAUGGUUCAUAUUUGGAAAAAUACCCAUAGGUGAAAUUCGUGUAUUUUGGUGUUUUAUGACAGAAUAUGAGGUUUUAAAUUUUGUUAGACAACUUGUGCUACUCGGUUUUGAGUAAAAACGAGUAAAAAGGCUUAAUCGGUAAAAAUAUUUAGUAGUCAUAAAUACAUGUUAGAGUGAGAAUUUGAUGUUGCCAUAGAAGGGAAAAAUGAUCAGAAUGUCAUAAAACAUAAUAAUAAGCGAUGAAGUUUAAUUCCCGAGCCUAGGGGCAAAAGUGUAAUUAUGCAAAAGUUUAGGGGCAAAAUGGUAAUUUUUCCAAAGUUCGUAUUAAGGCCUGUUUUAAUGAAUGUAUGUAUUAAAUAAGAUUAAUUUGGUAUUAUAGAUCAAGAGAAACGAGAUUCAAGUCGUGAUCGAGGGAAAAACAAAGUUUACGAGGAAUAGGCUCGAUUGUUAAAAAUUUUGUACCGAGGUAAGUUCAUGUGUAAAUAAGGUAGCAUAAUUGUUAUUUUUAAGUUAUUGAUGUUAAAUAUAUGAUAUGCUGAUUUUUAUCAUGAAAUAUAUGCUUUGUGGUUAUUUUCGAAUAAAAUGCAAAUUAAGUGUAUUAUUUGUUAAAUAUAAAGUGCUAUCGAAUAUUGGUUUCGGUAUUUUACGGAAGAUGGCAAGGAGAUGUGUUCGAGGAAAAUCCCGUUUGAACCUUAGGAAUAGAUUAGGAUACAAGUGACAUGUUACUAGGAUGGUUGAACAUCCGAACUCGUUGAGUUGAGUCCGAGUUCACUUAUGGAUGUGAAAUGUCCGAACUCGUUGAGUUGAGUCCGAGUUCGUGAGAUGUAACUAGGCAUCCGAACUCGUUGAGUUGAGUCUGAGUUCACUUAUGGAUGCGAACGCCCGAGCUCGUUGAGUUGAGUCCGAGUUCACUUAUGGGCGGGUUACAUGGUAGCUUGGCUACAAAUGUGGCACUUAUGUGCAAAUUAUCCAUGUAUCCGAGUUAUAUUCCGAUGUGUUCAAUGGGUAAAAUUUCUAGUGAAAUGGAAGAACACUUAAGAUGCAGGUGACGUAUUGGUAAGUAUUGUGAAAUGGACACUUUGGACAGGUAUGUACUUAACCUUCGGGUUGAAAAUAGAUACAACGACGAUAAGGUGGUAAGAUGAUUAAUGAUGUUUAGAAAUGUGAUAUAUGUUUUGGUGAUACCAUGCUAAGGUUGUUUGGUAUAAUUGUAUUGUUAUGUUACUUGUUAUUUGCAUAUGACUUACUAAGCAUUUAUGCUUACUCCCUCCUUUUCGUUCACUGUAGUUUUGAACAAGCCGACUUAGGAAUCGGGACAGGUCGAAGGUUCGAUCACUCUAUCCGAAGGACUCUUUUUGGUAAAUGGCUUGUAAAACUUAAGUAUGGCAUGUAUAGCAAUACACCUAUUUUGUGUAAAUAAUUUUGUGAUAUGGCCAUGAUUUGGUUGAGAAAAUGCUUAAUAAUGAUAAGUCAUGGAAAAUGCUAAGUUAGAUCAUGUUUGAUGUCAUGGAAGUUUAAUAUGUUAUCUAGAUCAUAAAAACUCAUGAAAAGAUGAAAUUUGCCAUAAACAGAAUAUUGCAGCAACACUGACAUGAGUUUGAAAAUUUACUAAAAAUCAUAGAAAUUGAAUUUGGUGAUGGAUUAAAUAUUAAAUUUAAGCCUAGUAUGUCUAGUUUCAUAUAAAACAAAUGAAACAAGUAAAGGAAUUAUAUGUUAUAAGAUAUUUGAAUUUUAGUGAAACAGGGCCAGAGCGAUUUCUGGAUCCCCUGUUCCAACUUUAGAAAUCUACCAUAAAUUUUAAAAAAAUAAUUAGGUGGUGUAUUUUAUAUUCUUGGAAUCCUUAUUGAGUCUAGUUUCGGCAUAAAUAAACGGCAUAGUCAUAUAAACUUUUCACAGAGAGAAAUAUGGUUCGUAGUAAACAGAGUUCAGUCCAGUCAAGUCCUGAAAUAGGGGUAACUUUAACUAAUAAAAUGUAUUAAUUUGCCCAACCAAAAAUUCUAGAAAAAAAUUAGUAAAUAGAUAUAUGAGUCUAGAUUUAAGGAAAAUUUACGGAUCUUGAUUUCGAGUUUUUUAACUCGAGAUAUGAUUUUUCUUGUAACUGUGACGCAGGUAGCUAGAAAGCUGUGAAUGUAGAAAUAAAUGAUUCGAAGUUCUUAAUUCGAUAAAUUAUGUUCGGUAACACCUCAAGCUCGACUCCGGCAACGGUCUCGGGCGUGGGGGCGUUACAUAUCCCACUAGCUUUGGAAGGAUUGUGGUGGACGCCAUCAACAUUAGGAGCCUUGAGGGGGAUAAUCUCCAAGAGGGCACACUAAAUUUCAUUGUAACAUCCUACACCCAGUUUGGAGGACGACCGAAUGCAAAGCACCACAUUCAUUAUCAAAGCAAUGCAAACAAACGUUCAUAUAGUCAUAUUUCAUAAAUUUUUAAAGUUAAAAGC